AUACGGAGGAUCCGAGCGUUAUCCGGAUUUAUUGGGUUUAAAGGGAGCGUAGGUGGAUUGUUAAGUCAGUUGUGAAAGUUUGCGGCUCAACCGUAAAAUUGCAGUUGAAACUGGCAGUCUUGAGUCCAGUAGAGGUGGGCGGAAUUCGUGGUGUAGCGGUGAAAUGCUUAGAUAUCACGAAGAACUCCGAUUGCGAAGGCAGCUCACUAGACUGUUACUGACACUGAUGCUCGAAAGUGUGGGUAUCAAACAGGAUUAGAUACCCUGGUAGUCCACACAGUAAACGAUGAAUACUCACUGUUUGCGAUAUACAGUAAGCGGCCAAGCGAAAGCAUUAAGUAUUCCACCUGGGGAGUACGCCGGCAACGGUGAAACUUAAAUGAAUUGACGGGG
rnacentral:rRNA from 1 species